rnacentral:rRNA from 1 species
UGGGGAAUCUUGCACAAUGGGGGCAACCCUGAUGCAGCGACGCCGCGUGAGCGAUGAAGCCCUUCGGGGCGUAAAGCUCUUUCGACCGGAACGAUAAUGACGGUACCGGGAGAAGAAGCUGCGGCUAACUACGUGCCAGCAGCCGCGGUAAUACGUAGAGUGCGAGCGUUAAUCGGAAUUACUGGGCGUAAAGCGUGCGCAGGCGGUUUUGUAAGACAGAUGUGGAAUCCCCGGGCUUAACCUGGGAACUGCGUUUGUGACUGCAAGGCUGGAGUACGGCAGAGGGGGGUGGAAUUCCACGUGUAGCAGUGAAAUGCGUAGAGAUGUGGAGGAACACCGAUGGCGAAGGCAGCCCCCUGGGCCUGUACUGACGCUCAUGCACGAAAGCGUGGGGAGCAAACA